CUUGAUAAAAUAUAAGAGGUCCAGCCUGCCCAGUGAAAAUUCAACGGCCGCGGUACACUGACCGUGCAAAGGUAGCAUAAUCACUCGCCCCUUAAUUAGGGGCCUGUAUCAACGGCACCACGAGGGUUAUUCUGUCUCCUUUUUCUAAUCAGUGAAACUGAUCUACCCGUGAAAAAGCGGGUAUUUAACUAUAAGACGAGAAGACCCCAUGGAGCUUCAAACCAAAAGCAAAUUAAAUCCUUAUACCACUACAGCUAUUAUAUUAUGCGUGUCGGUUUUAGGUUGGGGCAACCGCGGAGAAAAAUUUAACCUCCACAACGAAAAGACCUGUCUUUAUCCCAGAGCCACCGCUCUAAGAACUAGGAUACUAACAGAUAAUGAUCCAA
rnacentral:rRNA from 1 species